rfam:Rattus norvegicus chromosome 2, whole genome shotgun sequence.
GGGAAUUUAGCUCAGUGGUAGAGCGCUUGCCUAGCAAGCACAAGGCCCUGGGUUCAGUCCCCAGCUCU